rnacentral:lncRNA from 1 species
CUAUCAUCAUUUUGAAUAAAAUAUUAGUCCAGAUGAUGUACAAAUUCUGCAGGAUAACUAGAAGCAUGAGGACGACUUGCAGAAAAUUAAAAAUUACCGUAAGAUUCUUUACUUUGGGCACAUAGCCGCUUUUAUCGAUUUUCAUGUUAAAAGAACUUACGGCACUUGAAAGAAUUAAUCCAUGUCAAACUUGAGAAACAACCUACAUAAUUUAAAUUAUAUAAAAUAAUUUACCGAAAAAUCAAAAUACAUUGUUAAUGCCCUUUCAAGUGCUGGGAAGCGAAGUGGAUGAGACAUUGGAUUUAAAAUGUAAAUUUGACCUUCCCAGAUUAUAGACAAAAUCCAGUGCUUACUGUUGCCAUUAAAUUAUACACCAAAAUAUUUAAUAAAGAGAAGUUGUAUGUGACAAAAUCCAGUGCUUACUGUUGCCAUGAACUUAAAAAUAAUAAUAACAAUAAAUACAUACUUGUGAUUAUGCGGUAGGAAGAAA